CCUACGGGUGGCAGCAGUAGGGAAUUUUGCGCAAUGGGCGAAAGCCUGACGCAGCAACACCGCGUGAAUGUUAAGCCCUUCGGGGUGUAAAGUUCUGUCAAUAGGGACGAAUUUUGACUGUACCUAUAAAGGAAGCACCGGCUAACUUCGUGCCAGCAGCCGCGGUAAUACGGGGGGUGCAAGCGUUGUCCGGAAUCAUAGGGCGUAAAGCGUUUGUAGGCGGAAAGGUAAGUCAGAUGUUAAAGCCCGGGGCUCAACUCCGGUUCGGCAUUGGAUACUAUAUAGCUAGAGUGUGGGAGAGGUAAGGGGAAUUCCUGGUGUAGCGGUGAAAUGCGUAGAUAUCAGGAAGAACAUCGGUGGCGAAAGCGGUUUACUGGACCAUUAUUGACGCUGAGGAACGAAAGCCAGGGGAGCAAAUAGGAUUAGAUACCCUUGUAGUC
rnacentral:rRNA from 1 species